GCUCCGGUGGCCUAAUGGUCAGAGCGUAAACCUCAGAUGCGGAAGGUCGUGGGUUCGAGCCCCGUUUGAGUCA